rnacentral:ncRNA from 1 species
UUGAUGUUUGAUUUUGGCUUGAUUUUUAUAAAAUCUUUUAAAUUGCAUGAAAAUUUUUAUGUGUGUUGAGUUGUUAUAAAUUUUUAUAUUUAUAGGACGUUGUUGGAAUUUUGAAUUAUAAUAAUUUAAUUCUCAGCAUGUUUUAUUACUAAGAGCGAGUAUAUAUGGAAAUAUGAAUUAGAAAGGAUUUUAGGUCUAGUAAAUUUUGUGCCAGCAUCUGCGGUUAUACUUGAAGGACAAGUAAAAGUUUUCGGCUAGAGCUAGAUGAUUAAUAAUAUAAAUUUUCUAUAUAUUACGGACAAUAGAGGGUAAAAUUGAAUUGUUGUUGUGUAAAGUGAGAAAUUUUGAGUUGAAGCUAAAAAAAUUUAAGUGAAAACUAGGAUUAGAUACCCUAUUAUUUAAAUUAAAAUUGUUUAAAAGGCCUGGUUAGUAGUAGCUAUUUACUUAAAAACUAAAAAAUUUGGCGGUAAUUUAAUCUUUCCAGAGGAACUUGUUUUUUAAUCGAUAAACCACGAAAUAUCUUACUUACUUUAAUUAAUAAUAGGUUUGUAUACCUUCAUUAUCAGGUAAUUUUUAAAGAAUAAAUUAUUUGAAUUGUGUUUUGCGAGAAAAUUAGAUCAUGGUGCAGCUUAUAAGUAAGUUAAAAUGAGUUACAAUGAAUUGUUUUAUAUGAAUUUAUGAUGUAAGUGUCGUAAUGAAGGUGGAUUUGGUUGUAUUAUAAGUUUAAUAAGCUUAUAAGAUAUAGGCUCUAAAUUAUGUACAUAUCGCCCGUCGCUUUCAUUUAUAAGUGAAAUAAGUCGUAACAUAGUAGAUGUACUGGAAAGUGUAUCUGGAAUUAU